CAGCAGCCACGGUAAUACAGAGGGUGCGAGCGUUAAUCGGAUUUACUGGGCGUAAAGCGUGCGUAGGCGGCUUCUUAAGUCGGAUGUGAAAUCCCUGAGCUUAACUUAGGAAUUGCAUUCGAUACUGGGAAGCUAGAGUAUGGGAGAGGAUGGUAGAAUUCCAGGUGUAGCGGUGAAAUGCGUAGAGAUCUGGAGGAAUACCGAUGGCGAAGGCAGCCAUCUGGCCUAAUACUGACGCUGAGGUACGAAAGCAUGGGGAGCAAACAGGAUUAGAUACCCCAGUAGUCCCUGUCUCUUAUAA
rnacentral:rRNA from 1 species